GGGCGAUUAGCUCAGUUGGUAGAGCAACGAAUUUACACUUCGAAGGUCACAGGUUCGAGUCCUGUAUCGCCCA
rnacentral:tRNA from 1 species